GGGAGUCCAGAGUUAGGGUAGCAGGUCCAUGAAGUCACUGCUGUUCCAGGCUCCAUCUGCCUCCUACCUUCCUGUCUUUAGCAUGUGGCUUCUGUUCUAAUGGCCCGACGACGCCUAUUUUACAUUUGCCCACCUUACUGGCAGACAGGAUGAAGAAGAAUUGCAUGUGUAUCAGGAAGCAAAAUUUUUCCCCAGAAAUUCCCAGCAGACUGUUGUUAUCAAUAUUCCAUUGAUGAGAACUGUUUCAUGUAGAGGUCCCUAACUGAAGGGCGUGGGGUGCUAGUUGAGUUUUUGUAGCUUGGGACAAUUAUUUUUGGAACAAAAUUUGAAUGCUGUUAGUAAAGGGGAAGAGGCUAAUGGAUAUUGGGAAGAUGAAUCUCAGCGUUUGUUAUAGGGUCCUCCAGACAGGCUGGAUUAUAACACAAGCAUUAUUCAGUACAAUUUAAAAUAAAUCAGGAGCAGGGAGGGCUCCUAAUAUUCUGGAUUUAUAACUCUUUGAAAUUUUAGUUUAAUCCACAGAAUGCUUUUAAAGUUUCCUCCGAAACAUUUUUUUUUCCUGUAUGUCUAUUCUCCACAAAUAUUUUUUCUACAUCAGAACACAAUUUGAUUGAACACUAACUCCGAUAUUCACAGACGGCAUUAGAUUUUGGUCACUAGUACUAGUCUUUAUGUAAGAACCAAGAUUCCUUGGAGGAUAGCGGAAUCCACGUAUUGCACCCAGAAAAAGUAUGUUUCGCUGGAGUGAAUGAUAAACCGCUUCUGGGCAGAGGCACUCUUUACUACUCUCUUGGAGUCCUCAGGAUCUAAGGAAUGAGCUGCAAUACCACAUUGUGCCAGUAGAUGACGAAACCAUCCAACAUGUGAGGACUCCUCACCGGAAAUCCCUUAAAUUUCAAGCAUCGAAUAAGAGAUUAUUAUUUUCUGUUAUCAGGUCUACCUCGUGUGCAUCUUUUAAAGCGCCUCAAACUUUAGUCAACUGGACUUCAUCAGGUUUACAGAGCAGGUAAUGGAUUGUUUUGUGCUGUUUGCUGUUGAUGGUUUAAUCAGUGUUUGUGUACACAUUUGUUUGGAAAUUUGUUUGCUUUCUAACCAAAAGAAUAACUGACUUUGUCCAUCUCCUCACAUCUCUUCAAGGGUUUUCAGUGGCUACUGUUAUAUACCCACACUUACCUGUACAUACUCAAUAAGCUUGAGUCAGCUGGUAUCAACUUAAUUGAUUACUGAUAGUCCUUUUCUUGCUAUAAUCUCAUCUGCUAAGUAAUUCAUAUUUCCCUGCUGAUUUGAAGGGCCAUAUUUAUCAUAUACUAAAUUCCCAUAGACAUUUGAGUCUGUUUUUGGAUUCUUCAUUCUGUUUACUCAAUCUAUGCUAGCAUCAAAUUUUUAAUUUAUAUUUGAGCUUAUUUUUCAGAAUUUUCUGAGUUAUUUAGUACAAGUUUAUUUUUUCAUGUAAACAAAGAAUAUUGUCUCCCCCUAGCCCCUACCAUAAAAAAUCCAUUGGUAUUCUAUCUAUCUAUCUAUCUAUCUAUCCAUCUAUCACUUAUAUAGAGCUUACCACACACUACGUCUUAACUCAUU
ensembl:lncRNA